rnacentral:rRNA from 1 species
AAAGGUAAGCUACUAAGAGCGAAUGGUGGAUGCCUUGACUGGUAAAGGCGAUGAAGGACGUACUAGACUGCGAUAAGCUACGGGGAGCUGUCAAGAAGCUUUGAUCCGUAGAUUUCCGAAUGGGGCAACCCAAUGUAUAGAGAUAUACAUUACCUAUAUAGGAGCGAACGAGGGGAAUUGAAACAUCUUAGUACCCUCAGGAAAAGAAAUCAAUAGAGAUUGCGUCAGUAGCGGCGAGCGAAAGCGCAAGAGGGCAAACCCAGUGCUUGCACUGGGGGUUGUAGGACUGCAAUAUGCAAGAGGUAAGUUUAGCAGAACAUUCUGGAAAGUAUAACCAUAGAGGGUGAUAGUCCCGUAUGCGAAAAACAAACCUUAGCUAGCAGUAUCCUGAGUAGGGCGGGACACGAGGAAUCCUGUCUGAAUCCGGGUCGACCACGAUCCAACCCUAAAUACUAAUACCAGAUCGAUAGUGCACAAGUACCGUGAGGGAAAGGUGAAAAGAACUGAGGUGAUCAGAGUGAAAUAGAACCUGAAACCAUUUGCUUACAAUCAUUCAGAGCCCUAUGUAGCAAUACAGGGUGAUGGACUGCCUUUUGCAUAAUGAGCCUGCGAGUUGUGGUGUCUGGCAAGGUUAAGCAAACGCGAAGCCGUAGCGAAAGCGAGUCUGAAUAGGGCGCUUAGUCAGAUGCUGCAGACCCGAAACGAAGUGAUCUAUCCAUGAGCAAGUUGAAGCUAGUGUAAGAACUAGUGGAGGACUGAACCCAUAGGCGUUGAAAAGCCCCGGGAUGACUUGUGGAUAGGGGUGAAAGGCCAAUCAAACUUCGUGAUAGCUGGUUCUCUCCGAAAUAUAUUUAGGUAUAGCGUUGUGUCGUAAUAUAAGGGGGUAGAGCACUGAAUGGGCUAGGGCAUACACCAAUGUACCAAACCCUAUC